GGCAAAUAAAUCUAUUUUUUUUAUUUUGAAAAACCUCUUUGCCGAGAGCCUCCAGAUGGGCUCUCGGCAAAGCAAUUAAAAUUUUUUUGAACAAGCUCUUUGUCGAGAGCCAGGCCUGAGGCUCUCGGCAAAUCGACCAUUUUUUUAGCUUUGCUGAGAGGGCUCUCGGCAAAGGAACCAUUUUUUCAGAUUUGCCGAGAGCCCCCCUCGGCAAAUCGACCAAAAACUUUUUUUUUGUAUUUUUUCAUCCAAUUUCCACUGAAAUGCAUAUGAUACAUAUAUUUUCAGAAAAUCACAUAUUUCACAUCCAAGAGCCUAUAGCUCACAUAUUUGACAUCGAUGACAAUAUAUAGCACAUAAUGGCCUGCUUUGAUAAUGACUGAAGUCAGGAAAAAAAUGGGAUACCGAUACCGAUAAACUCUCUUGAUAUUACAUACUUUCCUAUGCUCAUGAACUAUUCGAUGUUUCUAUGUGUCUGUACUCUACUAAUUAUCUACGGACAUCGAAACAACGACCACGCCAUCACGACAAAUGGGAUUCAACUGUCCCAUUGAUGUGAAGAAGGCUAUCUGCAAAGGAAAGUUUGAACCCAUCUUAGUAUCAAAGGAACGUUGCCUUCACAGCCAAACGGGAAAGUGACUAUAUCAUACAGGAAAAAAUAUCAAUAUGUUACACGCAAGCUUUAACAAAGUCAAUUAGGUAAAUGUUUAACAUAGGAAUAUAGAAUACUACAUCAAUAAGCACCAGAGAGGUGAGAGUAAAUUGCCUUAGUAUAAAUAAAGCUUUUCAUUUCUGUCCAAUAUAACUUUUAUUGAAUGUUGCGAGAUGAAGUAGACUAGUUUAACGGUGUUCACUGCACAGGGCUAAUUGAAAAUAUUUCACAUCCAACCAAGUGAAAGUUGCACUGAAUUUUCCAACACUACUUACAGCAACAGAAGUGAGUUUUUAAGUUUAACUACAAAUGUGUAGUCAACAGAAGUUAUUGCAAAGUUUUUGCAUUCCCGACUUGCUCGUUAAGCACAUAGGAAAUGAUAACAAAGCAUAAAAAGUUUACAAAAGGGAAGAUAUUAGACAACACUUCACUGACAUCUUAGUAUCAAUCAGAAAGAUAAAGGCGUCCUCAUACAGCUAAUUUAGCAAAAAGGUUACACCAAACUAGAGAUAGGGAUAAAUCCAUCAUCAGUUCAUCAGAGGAUAAGUAGUGGUCCUUACUCAAAAGUGUAGUGAAUAGAACUUGUACUUGGUAACUAAACUGACAUUGAGAUAUUAUAACGGGUGCACAGACCAUCAAUAGCUUUCUCCACAUAUUUUGUCAUCUCAGGGAUAGUCACCUUGCACACUAAUUAUUAGAGACAAAUGAGAAUGGAGAAGACCAACAUAAUGUAAGAGUUGAGAUAUGCUAGUAACAUUGUAUGCAGGGGUGACAUGCUGCAAUUGCCGUACUGUACUCAAGAACGGAACGGAACGGGGUAGCAACGGCAUACCUGCUGGUGACGUCGA
rnacentral:lncRNA from 1 species